UGUCUCGUGGGGCAGUGAUCAGCCCGUGCAGGUCACCGACCGUAAGACCAAGGUCGCUAGUUCGAAUCUAGCCGAGACUG